AGUUGAAUGAAGGAGUCUGCUCUCAGAGUAUCUGCUGUGGGAGAGCCCCGGACCCCAAGCAUCUUCAAAGGUCUAUUAUUAAUGGGGCUGUCCAGCUGAAGCUGACAUCCGCACGCAGCCCUCCCAGAGCUCUGCACCUCAGCCAGCCCACGGCCUCCACCGUCUGGCCCUGUCGGCUGAGUGGUGCCCAGCAAGGUGAGAAGGCCAAGUCCUGCCCGCUGGGCCAGGCAGAGGUCACCCGCCGCGCCUGAGCUACCGGUGUGUGAUGAGAGGACUGCCCCACGUCUUCCCUCAUUUCCCAGCUGCCUCAGUUUCCCUUCCUGAGAGAGGCAGGGUUCUGGGAGGUGAGGAGCUGCAGGGACCCAAGAAGGGCAUAGAAGCCGCCUGGGGACACUGGCCCCUCUGUCAGGAUCAAUCGCCCUAAGCCUGUCUGAGGCGCUCCGGGCUUAGGAGCAGCUGUGAAAGCCGCCUUUGUGCCUGGGAGAAUGAGCCGCAAGAGGACAGGGGGCCCUCGCCCCGGGAGCCCCUUGGGUCCUGGCUCCUGAGAUCAACGCCAGCAGGGAGGACCCCAGCCUGGCCCCUGCAGCCCACCCAGGCCUGGUGCCCACUUCGUGCCAUGGGAGCAGCCCAGGGGAAGAAGCUGGAAAAACCACCAGAGAAGGAAGAGGAUCACGCCCCCGAGUUUAUUAAAGUCAGGGAAAACCUGCGGAGAAUUGCCACACUGACCAGCGAAGAGAGAGAGCUGUAGGGCCAGCUGCCGGGCUCAGGCCACUGCCCACCCUGGCCUGGACAGCCUCCUUCAGCCCUUCUGUACCUGGCAGCCCUGGGCCCCAGGCCCUGGGACGUCUGUGAUGUUCCCACCUGCUUCUGUAGAAAUGUGUCACCCCAGAGGGCCUGGCUCUCCCUGGGAGGCUGGGGCCCCUAAGCUCCUAGGUUUUCCUUCCAAGCACCCAGCCCUCCUGCUCCAAGAGGGAUAACCUGCACCCCUCCCUGCAAGGGGUUCAGAGCCCAGCACAGGAGCUUUCUCUGGCAGAAUUGAGGAGGAAGAGGUGGCCCUCUGACUUGACAAGCCUUCUGUUCUGCCCAGGCCUUCCCACCAGGAAUCUCCGAGGCUCCCCAGGGCCCCGCUUCUCCGUACACCCCAGCUCCUAGGUCUCAGAGAACUCCCCCACCUGUGGUUUUACCUGCAGCCAGCAGAGCUUAGCUUCAAGGACACCUGCCUUCAAAGCCACUGAGGGGAGGAAGGGCAGGGCAGACUGCAGAUGGCCUUGUUGCUGGCAUCCCGGCCAGGUGGGCGGGGACUAACAAAGACAGCUGUUUAGGGUCUUCUCCCCUCACCCAUGCUUUCAUCAUCCCCUCCGCACAGCCUCCCCGUCCAGGCCUUCUAACCACACCUACCCAGGGCUGCCGCAUUCCUGCACUCAGAAGUCUGCAGCGGUGCCUCACAAACUUGAUUGUGCAUAAAAAUCACUGGGGAUCUUGUUAAUACAGCUUCUAACUCAAUAGAUCUGGGAGAUCCUGCAUUUCUAACAAGCUCCCAGGUAAGGCGGAGGCUGCUGGUGUGAGGACCAUGCUGUGAGCAGCAGGGCGAGAGUGCCCAGGGCUGAUAUAUAUUGGAAAUAUCACCCCUGAAGCCAUCGCUGGCCCCCACCUCCUGUGGACUGAUGCCCCAGGGAUUCCCACCCCACUUCUGCAACCCCAGGUAUCCUUCAUUAUCCACCCCAUCCCAGACUCCCACCCCAGGGAUUGCCCGUGAAGACUUUGGCCUAGCAAAUUGUGUUGGUUAUGUGAGUGUUGUUUUAAUCAGAGAUGUACAUGAUUGCCAAUCUGCAUUUCUUACCAGUGUGACCACACUGUUACGAUGCAAUUCUAGCCAAAAAAAAAAAAAAAAAAAAAAAAAUUUUUUUUUUUUACUUUUUCCUAGUCUUAUGGAAAGCAAAUAUACAAUGAUUUUCAGUAGGCUUCUGGAAUAGAAACAGUGGUUUGAAGACCCCACUGCCACCUUUAUGGACUGGCCCCUUUGAGUCUGAAUCCCCGGCCUCUGUCACCUGAGACCCAACCCCUAGCUGGGCCAACUCCAGUGAAUUCACCCAUUUUUCUUCUUCAGAAGGCCUUUCCUGUGUGAGACCCACAUAUUUUAACCUUUUGCUCCUAUCCCAUUUUUAAAGAAUUAGAGAAUAAACCAGGCCUGUUUCUUUUCCCCUGAAAUCCCUGCCUCUGGCUUCCUAAACCCAUCAUCUAAGGUGACAGAGCAGUGCUGGAAUAGCAUCUCCUUUCACUUUCCCAAAACUGCCACAGAUAGCUGCCACUGGCAUGCUCUUUGAUUCCUGGAAGCAAACGUGGGACUGUCGGAGGAAAGGGAUUGUUCUGGUCUUACUCAUAACUGGGUGGUUUGAGGGUGACUGAAGUCGUGCUUUUCCUGUGUGUGCUGCCAGCACAGGGCUGUAAAUGCAGAUAUUGCGCCUGUGUGCGUGUGUAUAAGUCAAGCUCCAAGAGGCUCCUGAAUGUGACUGGCGUGCUGAGAAUGUGUUUACGCUGUUUAAUGUCUGCCAGGUGAGGGUUACACUGAAGAUGCACAAUCCCUAAAAUAAAGAUCACCACUUCCCCAAAGAAGCAGCCCUCGGGUCCAUGUGUUGUUCAGACAUGUGAAGAGAAGCAAGACAGAGGGUCUCAGAUGGACGAGGGCUCUCCAAGGGAAUGCCUGGGGAUUCACCCAGUGGUCCCCAGAGGUGCUCCAUGGAGGCAACAAGUCAUUCCAUGAAGCCCCAGAGGUAGAAGGGACCUCAAGCACCACGCCCUCCAGGGCAGCCGUGCAGACGACCUUGGUUCACUUUUCAGGGGUCGUCCCAACUCUGUAUCUCCAGCCACUCCAACUGUGGAGGCUGUAAAUCCAGAUUUUCACUGUUCCAGUCUCCUUUGCAGCUUAGGAUGGCUAUGUGAUCAGGUGUGGCCAAUGAAAUUGAAGAGGAAGUCUACCUGGGCUUCUGGGAAAGCUUUUCCAAUAAAAGACACAGGCAUGGCUAACACCUCCCUGGGCCUCUUCUUCCUACCUUGAUUGAGGGUGUGAUGCCUGGAGCCACAGCAGCCACUUUGCUACCAUGACAAAAAGGCCAAGAGAAUCACAGAGUCAUUGACCCUAUCAUUAUUUCACCAAGCCAAUACCAGCCGCCAUCCUUCUCCAGAAUUCUUGUAAAUAAAAUAAAUCCCUCUUUGUUU
rnacentral:lncRNA from 1 species